rnacentral:rRNA from 1 species
GACGAACGCUGGCGGCGUGCUUAACACAUGCGAGUCGAACGGAAAGGCCCUGCUUGUGUGGGGUGCUCGAGUGGCGAACGGGUGAGUAACACGUGAGUAACCUGCCCUUGACUUUGGGAUAACUUCAGGAAACUGGGGCUAAUACCGGAUAGGAGCUCCUGCUGCAUGGUGGGCGUUGGAACGUUUCGGCGGUUGGGGAUGGACUCGCGGCUUAUCAGCUUGUUGGUGGGGUAGUGGCUUACCAAGGCUUUGACGGGUAGCCGGCCUGAGAGGGUGACCGGCCACAUUGGGACUGAGAUACGGCCCAGACGCCUACGUGAGGCAGCGGUGGGGAAUAUUGCACAAUGAGCGGAAGCCUGAUGCAGCAACGCCGCGUGCGGGAUGACGGCCUUCGGGUUGUAAACCGCUUUCGCCUGUGACGAAGCGUGAGUGACGGUAAUGGGUAAAGAAGCACCGGCUAACUACGUG